GACGAACGCUGGCGGCGUGCUUAACCCAUGCAAGUCGAACGGUAAGGCCCCGCGGGGUACACGAGUGGCGAACGGGUGAGUAACACGUGUGUGAUCUGCCCUGCACUUCGGGAUAAGCCUGGGAAACUGCGUCUAAUACCGGAUAGGACCAAUGCCUGAAUGGGUGGUGGUGGACAGGUUUGGCGGUGUGGGAUGGGCCCGCGGCCAAUCAGCUUGUUGGUGGGGUGAUGGCCUACCAAGGGGACGACGGGUAGCCGGUCUGAGAGGGUGACCGGCCACACUGGGACUGAGAUACGGCCAAGACUCCUACGGGAGGCAGCAGUGGGGAAUAUUGCACAAUGGGCGCAAGCCUGAUGCAGCGACGCCGCGUGAGGGAUGACGGCCUUCGGGUUGUAAACCUCUUUCAGCACCGACGAAGCGCAAGUGACGGUAGGUGCAGAAGAAGGACCGGCCAACUACGUGCCAGCCGCCGCAGUAA
rnacentral:rRNA from 1 species